ACUAAGCGUACACGGUGGAUGCCCUGGCAGUCAGAGGCGAUGAAGGACGUGCUAAUCUGCGAAAAGCGCCGGCGAGGUGAUAUGAACCUUUGACCCGGCGAUGUCCGAAUGGGGAAACCCAGUGUGAUUCGUCACACUAUCGUUAACUGAAUACAUAGGUUAACGAGGCGAACCGGGGGAACUGAAACAUCUAAGUACCCCGAGGAAAAGAAAUCAACCGAGAUUCCCCCAGUAGCGGCGAGCGAACGGGGAGCAGCCCAGAGUCUGAAUCAGCUUGUGUGUUAGUGGAACGGUCUGGAAAGUCCGACGGUACAGGGUGAUAGUCCCGUACACGAAAAUGCACAGGUUGUGAACUCGAAGAGUAGGGCGGGACACGUGGUAUCCUGUCUGAAUAUGGGGGGACCAUCCUCCAAGGCUAAAUACUCCUGACUGACCGAUAGUGAACCAGUACCGUGAGGGAAAGGCGAAAAGAACCCCGGCGAGGGGAGUGAAAAAGAACCUGAAACCGUGUACGUACAAGCAGUGGGAGCACCUUCGUGGUGUGACUGCGUACCUUUUGUAUAAUGGGUCAGCGACUUAUAUUCUGUAGCAAGGUUAACCGUAUAGGGGAGCCGAAGGGAAACCGAGUCUUAACUGGGCGUUAAGUUGCAGGGUAUAGACCCGAAACCCGGUGAUCUAGCCAUGGGCAGGUUGAAGGUUGGGUAACACUAACUGGAGGACCGAACCGACUAAUGUUGAAAAAUUAGCGGAUGACUUGUGGCUGGGGGUGAAAGGCCAAUCAAACCGGGAGAUAGCUGGUUCUCCCCGAAAGCUAUUUAGGUAGCGCCUCGUGAACUCAUCUUCGGGGGUAGAGCACUGUUUCGGCUAGGGGGCCAUCCCGGCUUACCAACCCGAUGCAAACUACGAAUACCGAAGAAUGUUAUCACGGGAGACACACGGCGGGUGCUAACGUCCGUCGUGAAGAGGGAAACAACCCAGACCGCCAGCUAAGGUCCCAAAGUCAUGGUUAAGUGGGAAACGAUGUGGGAAGGCCCAGACAGCCAGGAUGUUGGCUUAGAAGCAGCCAUCAUUUAAAGAAAGCGUAAUAGCUCACUGGUCGAGUCGGCCUGCGCGGAAGAUGUAACGGGGCUAAACCAUGCACCGAAGCUGCGGCAGCGACACUAUGUGUUGUUGGGUAGGGGAGCGUUCUGUAAGCCGUUGAAGGUGGCCUGUGAGGGUUGCUGGAGGUAUCAGAAGUGCGAAUGCUGACAUAAGUAACGAUAAAGCGGGUGAAAAGCCCGCUCGCCGGAAGACCAAGGGUUCCUGUCCAACGUUAAUCGGGGCAGGGUGAGUCGACCCCUAAGGCGAGGCCGAAAGGCGUAGUCGAUGGGAAACAGGUUAAUAUUCCUGUACUUGGUGUUACUGCGAAGGGGGGACGGAGAAGGCUAUGUUAGCCGGGCGACGGUUGUCCCGGUUUAAGCAUGUAGGCGGAACGAUUAGGUAAAUCCGGUCGUUUUUUAACGCUGAGGUGUGAUGACGAGGCACUACGGUGCUGAAGUAACAAAUGCCCUGCUUCCAGGAAAAGCCUCUAAGCAUCAGGUAACAUCAAAUCGUACCCCAAACCGACACAGGUGGUCAGGUAGAGAAUACCAAGGCGCUUGAGAGAACUCGGGUGAAGGAACUAGGCAAAAUGGUGCCGUAACUUCGGGAGAAGGCACGCUGAUAUGUAGGUGAAGCCCCUGCGGGUGGAGCUGAAAUCAGUCGAAGAUACCAGCUGGCUGCAACUGUUUAUUAAAAACACAGCACUGUGCAAACACGAAAGUGGACGUAUACGGUGUGACGCCUGCCCGGUGCCGGAAGGUUAAUUGAUGGGGUUAGCGGUAACGCGAAGCUCUUGAUCGAAGCCCCGGUAAACGGCGGCCGUAACUAUAACGGUCCUAAGGUAGCGAAAUUCCUUGUCGGGUAAGUUCCGACCUGCACGAAUGGCGUAAUGAUGGCCAGGCUGUCUCCACCCGAGACUCAGUGAAAUUGAACUCGCUGUGAAGAUGCAGUGUACCCGCGGCAAGACGGAAAGACCCCGUGAACCUUUACUAUAGCUUGACACUGAACACUGGUCCUUGAUGUGUAGGAUAGGUGGGAGGCUUUGAAGUGUGGACGCCAGUCUGCAUGGAGCCGUCCUUGAAAUACCACCCUUUAAUGGCUGGUGUUCUAACGUAGACCCGUAAUCCGGGUUGCGGACAGUGUCUGGUGGGUAGUUUGACUGGGGCGGUCUCCUCCCAAAGAGUAACGGAGGAGCACGAAGGUUAGCUAAUCCUGGUCGGACAUCAGGAGGUUAGUGCAAUGGCAUAAGCUAGCUUGACUGCGAGAGUGACGGCUCGAGCAGGUGCGAAAGCAGGUCAUAGUGAUCCGGUGGUUCUGAAUGGAAGGGCCAUCGCUCAACGGAUAAAAGGUACUCCGGGGAUAACAGGCUGAUACCGCCCAAGAGUUCAUAUCGACGGCGGUGUUUGGCACCUCGAUGUCGGCUCAUCACAUCCUGGGGCUGAAGUAGGUCCCAAGGGUAUGGCUGUUCGCCAUUUAAAGUGGUACGCGAGCUGGGUUUAGAACGUCGUGAGACAGUUCGGUCCCUAUCUGCCGUGGGCGCUGGAGAAUUGAGGGGGGCUGCUCCUAGUACGAGAGGACCGGAGUGGACGCAUCACUGGUGUUCGGGUUGUCAUGCCAAUGGCACUGCCCGGUAGCUAAAUGCGGAAGAGAUAAGUGCUGAAAGCAUCUAAGCACGAAACUUGCCCCGAGAUGAGUUCUCCCUGAGCCUUUAAGGCUCCUGAAGGAACGUUGAAGACGACGACGUUGAUAGGUCGGGUGUGUAAGCGCAGCGAUGCGUUGAGCUAACCGAUACUAAUGAACCGUGAGGCUUAACC
rnacentral:rRNA from 1 species